CCACAAGUCAAUGAAAUAAAUGGACUCCUUCCAGGGCAGUUGAUGAAGCCUGGACUUACUGGCAACAAGGGCAGCUCUUUGACAUUUCAAAACAAAAUCUGUGAGUGAAUAUAAAUGGACAAUUCCGCUGCUAGAUGGCAUUCAAUCCGGCAAGCUUGCGCAGUUUCUCACAUAGUAUAAAUGUGAUUGUAGUUUGAGGACCCAAUCUUGCAAAAAUUGCAAAGCCCCUGACAAAAAAUUAAAAAUUAAAACUCUGAAAGCAUGGACAAGGACGCAGAAAAAUUCAUUUAAAAUGUAUUUCAAAAUGGGUCUAUAUGUUAUUAGUGUAUUUUACAACUCCAAAAAUGAGUCUAUGAGUUACUAUUUUUACAGCCCAAAGAAGCAGUAAGGUGCCUUUGACAUAAGGGUAUAAAGAUUACAAUAAAUGACAGUCUACUAGUAAUAUUAAAAAGCUCAAAUUAAAUGAGCUGCCUUACUAAAGACUGCACUUGUUGAUGUAGAAGACAUGAAUUGUUCAUUACACCUUAGUCCCUAACAUUUUUAAUUUGACCACUUUUUAAUCCCUGAAAAUUCACAAAUUUAUUGCACAUUAAUCCUUGAAUUGCCAUAUCAUAAUCACUUAAAUCCCUUGAAAUCUCACACUUUCACUAAUGGUUGUAUAAAGACUCAGAUAACUAAUUUUGAAGCAGCAAGAACAAAAUGCAUGUUAGACCAAACCUUAGGGAGUUUUCAGUAAUUUAGUCUAAUGACUGGACAGCAGCAAACUAAGCUGCUUCCAGAUUGCAUAGAAAGAAGCAUGCCUUAUAAUUAUGAUUAAUUAAAAAACACUGGUCAUAGAGACCCAGACAGAAUGUUACCCCUUGUAAAGUGCACUAGGGCCUUCUGUAAGCAUAACCUGAUAUGCACAAUGAAAUCCAUUUUUAUAGCUUUGAACUCUUUUAGAUUCCCGUUGCAGCAUGAGGCGGGUUUUAAUCAUAUCCAUGGGUGCAGUUAUAAGGGUACUCACUGUCCCUGCUACUGUACUUGAGCUUCAUACACAAAGUGUACAUUUAAUUAAAACUUACGUGAAUCAAAGUAGAAAAAUGCAUAUGAAGUUUUGCUUGUACUUAAUACAUGUCAAACAAAGAUCAUUAUGCAAGUCACCCUGAAAUAGCAUCAGGGAGACAAGGCCUUAACAGUUUAUGGGUGUGCUCAUCUACACAUAAGAUAUUGUAUGAUUUUAAUGCUUUAUUAAAAAUAUUACAUUUUCUCAACUAAUACGUCCAAGAAAUAAAUUGACAUAAUUAUUUCGGAGUUUAUCAUUUUCAUAAUUCUUCAUAAUUCUUCUGUUUAUCGGGAAUGGAAGAACUAUUUGUUCAAAUUCCUAUCAAAUAAACUUUUUAUGUUUCUUUUUACUAUAAUUAGCAUCAUAGUGAAAAGAUAAUAAAAACACAGCAGCAGUGCCAUACACCAAGUGUAGAUGAAAUCCUUCUUCCAGAGGUGUCCACCUAAUAAGAACCCGCUUGGUUUCAUCAUACGUUGCCAGUUGUGAUGCAGUCAAAGCAGCAGCUCUGGCCAUAGCAGGGCCAACCCCCUUCCAGAGAGCUCUUAUUCCCUCUUCAGAAACAAUUCUACGCAUUUCUGCAAUUGGUCCUCCUUGGCUUGGGCUAGGGUUUGUAUUCACCUGCAACCGAACCUUCAGAACUUCAACAGGAUUGGUCAGUGCAGUUGCAAUUGCACCAGCAAAUGCACCUGAUGCAAUCUUGACCAGUAUAUUGGUGGACCCAAAACACAAAGCACAGGCAUGCUUUGAGGGUUCAUACAGCCCUAAACGGAGACCUCCAUAAAUUACUGACCUUGUUAAUGCAGGUGUCAAUCCCAAAUACAAAGCUUUUGGCCCUUCAUUUUUAAAUAGUUGAACAAAUAAACGUCCCUGUAUAUUGUAUAAUGAUACCUCAUUUGAAAAGAAUCUAAUAAACCAAGUGAUCGUUAUAAAGUAAUAAUAAAAGCAUAUCACACCAUUCCAGUCAAAGGACCCUUCUGGCCCACAAGUUGCAUUUGCAGCCGAACUUUGAGUACGUCUGCAUUACAAGUUGAAGAAUUAGAUAUUUAUUGGAUUCAACAGUGCUAAAACAAUUUCCAUAUUCAUUUAUUAUUUGUGCACAUCAUAUAAAAAAAGUAUUUAACUCCAUGAAUAACCUUCUCUAAACCCUACAUAAAAUAGUAAAAUUAUGCAGUGCCACUUCCAACUUCUGUGUUCAUCUACCAUUCAAGAUAAAAUUUGCAACAUCUGAGCUCAAAUCAACCCUAGUCUCCAUUUCUUAUGUAUGUGCCUUUUGAUCACAACAACUCCAAGUAAGUAACUAACCUACAACACUUCUCAGCAGCUCAAUUACAAUUUCAAACAAAUCUAACUCUGAUACUUAGGCCUGAAUUUUGUUCAGCUUCAUUGCACUGAGAUAUAUUUUCUCAUAAAAAAUACAUAUGACGAGUUUCUGGCAAUCUACAGCAACAAUCCAGCGUCAUUGACUCAAUUUCUUUCUUGCUGAUUGAGAUUAAAAUAGGCCAUUGUCACACUAUUCACCUAAUUCAACCAGAUUUUUGUUUAGGAUUCAAUGAGUGGUUAAUUUGACAACAAAAAAAGAAAUAAAUGCAAACCAGCCCAAACAAAAAAUGGAACAAAAGCAGCACGGCAUAAGUUCUGAUAAAUAAAUUUAAAAGGAAAACAUUAUUUGUCUAAUGAAACCUAGGAAUAGGAAACCACAAAUUAUAAUAUACCAGUAUCAUAAUUCCCAGCUGUCCCCUAUUUAUCCUCUUCAUGAACACUAAUACCUGUCAAUUAUAAUUAAACAAAAAAAGCGCUUACCUUUAUGCAUCUUCUACCAACAUUUAGGGCAUGAAAUACAAUUGAAGGCAAACAUAACCAGAUCUCACACCAGCUCACAUAUGAACAUGAUACAAAAAUCAAGCUGGAAGAAAAAAAAGAAAAACCUAAAGGAUGUGUGACGCCUGUAGCAGCCGCCACGGAGAUUCCACUAGUGGCGAAAUGAUAAAUGAAUUUGGACGGUGAGGCUGCCCAAUUCUGCUUCGCAUUGACUUUAGCAAUAGGCUCUGUAAUAAUCCAAAUUUCACAUCCAAUUUCUUUUUCCAUUUUCAGUGAACAAGAAGACAAGCAGAAAAACGAUGAGGAAGAUCUAAUAGAGGAUGAAAAAGAGACCUGAAGGCGAGGAAUUGCUGGAACCUGAAUAGCCCUCC
rnacentral:misc_RNA from 1 species